CUAUAUCCCGAAUAGCGACGGAGAAAUACAUCGCUGUUUUGCAAAUUGUGACGCUCUAAAGCGUCGGUAAAUAGCGGCAAUGAAAAUAGCGACCCUCUCCCAAAGCGUCGCUAUGUGAAAUAGCGACACUUUAGAGCGUCGCAAUUUGUCCCAAAAAGCGUCACAAUGUGCCGCGUUUUUUUGGUGAUUGCACCGGCUUUUGAUUAGUGAUUUCUCUCUCCUGGGGUUUCAAUGUCGACGUUUAUGGGGCUUUCCUUUCCUAUAUAUUUCGAUCGGUGUUACGGUGAAUGAUCAAUCUCUGUCACUUUCUCUCUUAGGUAGAUUUGCAGAGCGGAAAUUAAAACAACCGAAAUCAAGACGAACUUCUUCGUUAUUCGUUAUGAAUUAGCUCCCCACUCCUCCUAUCUUCAUCGGCCUCCGCCCCGCCGCCCGCUGCCUAUUUCAAGCACAAAUAAAGCUGCUAAUUAUUACUACAGUGGAGUACCUACUACUUAUUCUCAAGCGAAGAUUGACGAGUUAAGGAACAUAUGGGUUACAUAUGUGUCCGAGCAUAAAGAAAAGAACUAGAUGAAGAGUCUGAAAAUGGUAUGGAUUAUGAAGAUGAUGAUACGGUGUAGGUGAUUUUAUGACUUCAUUUAAUUUUUGAAAUUUGUAUUUCUUUACGAAGAAGAUUAUAGUGUUAGGUUAUGAUACAUAUGAAUAAACAUAAAUCAUGC